rnacentral:snRNA from 1 species
GUGCUCACUUCGGCAGCACAUAUACUAAAAUUGGAACGAUAUAGAGAAGAUUAGCAUGGCCCCCGAGCAAGGAUGACAUGCAAAUUUGUGAAGCUUUCCAUAUUUUU